rnacentral:lncRNA from 1 species
CUUCCAAAAUCAAAGUUGAGCCUGGUUCCAAUAGCAUAAAUGAUUCUUCCAAGACCAUUAGAGAUAGUUGAGAUAUGAUUAGUUGGCACCCAGUUGGCUGAACCAAUCUUAUGCAAGAUGACAUAUUUAACAGUUAGAUGCUUCUUACUAGGCCAUUCCUUGACUUGGCCAGCAGUAAUAGUCCUACAAACUUCAUUGUCUGUAGCCUCUAACUCCACACCUCC